UUGAUAGCGGCGGUACGGAUGAGUAAAGCCUAGGAAUCUGCCUGGUAGUGGGGGAUAACGUUCGGAAACGGACGCUAAUACCGCAUACGUCCUACGGGAGAAAGCAGGGGACCUUCGGGCCUUGCGCUAUCAGAUGAGCCUAGGUCGGAUUAGCUAGUUGGUGAGGUAAUGGCUCACCAAGGCGACGAUCCGUAACUGGUCUGAGAGGAUGAUCAGUCACACUGGAACUGUGACACGGUCCAGACUCCUACGGGAGGCAGCAGUGGGGAAUAUUGGACAAUGGGCGAAAGCCUGAUCCAGCCAUGCCGCGUGUGUGAAGAAGGUCUUCGGAUUGUAAAGCACUUUAAGUUGGGAGGAAGGGCAUUAACCUAAUACGUUAGUGUUUUGAC
rnacentral:rRNA from 1 species